ACUGGAUUUGGAGCCAGAA
rnacentral:miRNA from 3 species